rnacentral:lncRNA from 1 species
GGAAAGAAAAGGAAUGAAGGAGGGAAGGGAUUUUGCUUAUAUGUUUAAUAAAUGCCAAAGGGUCAUCUUGGACACUUCGUUUUAUAGUCAAGAACCUGCACAGGCCUACAAAUAACGCAAGGACAGGCUUGGGCUCCUGAGGAGAGAGCUCUGGGUAAUGAGCUGCCCUAUGGGAGGAAAGGAUAGUCCUGCCGAACCAGCAUCAGUCUCCAGGUAAGGUGUUCACACCUUCGAAGAUCACUUUACAUGGAUCGUCCUCAUGUAAGUAAGUGCGGUUAACAAGUAGAAGAAGGGUGAAGAUGGCCAAUGAAAACAGUGAGAAAUGCCAAACUACCCCCUGUUGGAAGUGGUUGAAGAAGAUGGGCAUACUUAACCAAGAAAAGAGGGAAAAACAGAACCAGGAGAACAAUGGCUGUACUCAAAGGAGUGGCUGCAAACAGAAGAAAAAAGAAAGACAAGAGGAAGGAAGGUCAGCCUGUUCCAGUAUGGCCCACAGCCAGUGUUCUAUGGCUAAAAAGUCACCUUUCUAUAGAAAUAGUGGCCAAGAUGAGGGGCUGAUGCCCAGAAGAAUCUUAAUCAUCCUAUAGCUGACAACUUCCCAAGG